GGUGGAGAGCCUGGGACUUUGAGGAGUUAGCGAUGUAAGAUAGAACUUUUAGACUGUGUCCCUGCUCUCCGCUCUUACAUUCACGCCGCUCCUAUUCUUGACAGAGGAAGGAAAGGCUGAGUGGGGGCCGUGUUAAGGGCAGAGAAGAGCCUCCCAGAGAUCACUUAGGCUCCUGCCUAUCAAAGGACAGGAAUAAAAGAGAGGAACUCCAGGCCCAACGUCCUUGAGUCCCUGUUUCCUUGUCAAUGAAAGAGACUAGUAUGUAAAUAAGAGCUUUGCAUAAGCCAGACAUUCUUUCAAGUCCAGUUUAUCUGCAGUAUGAGUCACUUCCUUUUUAAAGCAUGAAUUAAAAGAGAGAGGCGCAUAAUCAUUACCCACACAAACCUUAAUAGACCUUUCUCCUCAUUCAAAUAGCAAGAAGGUAAAGGGCUCCUCCUUUGACAAAACAGCAACAUCAUCUUGCAUAUCCUGGACGCACAGUUCGACCGGUUAAUACCUGCAUUCAGAAGAGAGAAAUGAACCAGUGAGAUAAGCAGGCAGAUGAGAUGACAGAGGGAGGCCCCAGGCCCAGCCGGGUGAACCUGAUACCUACAAAGAAAGCUCAAGAACAAGAAGCCCUUGAAUGACUCAGGUAAGGUUUAUCUCCUCCAAAAGGAAGUUUAACCCCAUGUUAUCCAUGAGAGCAAAGAAACACAGAAACCUUUGGAGGAAGUCUCAGGGUAGCCGAAGGCCAAAAAACAGAGGAGGAAACAAGCCACCUGCCCGUCCACAGACGAGGGCUCUGCACAGGAACUGGAACUGUCAACUGAAAAACAAACAUGGGAUGGGAUGGUACAGAAACCAAGCAGGAAAGUGGCCGGCCUCUUCCCCAUCUCAGUGCUGUCGGGCGUGUCCAGCUCCUGCGGGGGAUUUGUCCGGGAUGGUUCAUUUUUCAGGAGUUAAAGAUUCUAUUUGAAGAGGGAAGCAGGGAAGAAAAAAGCAAGACCCCUGGCACCAAGCUAGGAAGCACCAGCCUCCGCCUGCAGUCCACACUCUGGACUUCCUCCCAAAUGAGUCCCAUGAAGCCCAACCUCAAAGGAAAGGCCUAGAAUGGAAAUGUCUCAUUAGCCUGGGCCUGGGCUUGUUGCCCGGCUCUGAUUGGGUUCCCAGUGACUUCUUUUAGGCUUGGGGCCAGGACUUAUUUUUAUGUUAGAUCUUGAAGAAAUUUAUUCAGUUCCCAUACACCCCGUGGUACUGUGAAAACUUCAGCUUCAUCAGUGGCAGUUUCCAAGCGGGGUGUGAGCAGAAGAGCGCCAGAGGAGAAAGAAGGACAGAGUGCCACAAAGACACUUAAUGAGGGAUGGAGGCACGCUUCUUUGGGUCAAAACAAUCUGAGUGUUGAUCUACCAGUCAAUAUCCGGAACCAAAUCCCCACACCAGCUUGAGAUAAUCAGCCGCCCCAGCCUCCACGGGAAACCCUCUGUGUAGGAGGCCGGAAGGGCCAGAGGGCAGGGGACAGGCAACCUCCAUUUGCUGAUGGCUAACCACAUUCCUAACCCUGCACCUGGCACUUCAGCUAAUUUGUCCUUCACAACAACCCCCUGAAGAAGAACCGGGAACAAGAAGCCUGGAGCCACUGUGUCAGCAAACCUCCACCCUCACCUCUGAUCAACUGACAAACCCAGGCCAUGCCUAAAACUUGGAAAACUAAUAACAGAAUUAAUUAUACAACUAGAAUAAAACUAGAUUUAAUUCUUCCUCUGCACUUGACUCCCAUUGCAGGCUCAGUAGCAAGGACAGAAAUUCACCCAAGUGAACUGCACGUGCGAAGGGUUACUCAGCAAUCUUGCAGGAUGAACGGUGAAUGCCCCCCACUCCCCAAGGAGAGCUUGUUUUUUCUGUCUCCAGCCUCUGGCCAGACUUGGGUUGAACACCAAGGACCAACCUCUUGGUCACAACAAAGGCCCCACCCCCCAGAGGAAAGCCAACUGGGCUGGCUGGGGUGUAGCGGCCAGCCCUCUUGGGUCAGCAGACAGGAACCAUCUGUACUGGAGGAAAGAGCAUACCCAGGAAGCCCAAAGCCUAGGGGCUUUUGAAAAAGAAAUCAACUAUGCUUUUCAACACAUGCUAACAAAACUCUAAUCUGUGAGCCUAACAAGCCGAGGAUAUUGGAAGAAUUUGAUAGGAACAGUGAAUUAAAAGCCUUCUUUACGGCCCUCCAUUCCCAGUGGAAGCAACAACCUUCAACAUUCAUUCAUCCCACAGAUAUUUAUGAAGAGGCUGCUAUGCAUGAGAUAUCAUUUCUGGGCCUGACAGCACGGAACAAGAUGACAAUGACGACGAACAGGCUCGUCUGUCUUCCCUAUUAAAGCAAUACGUGCCAAUUAAAGAGAAAUCAUAAAACGGACAUAAACUGAAAGGAGAAAUCACCUGCGUCCUCCCACAGGCUAUAUUCUGCUUUUCAAUCUAUUUUCAAUGUGUAUGAAUCCAUGUGGCCAUACUAUUUUUCCCCAAAUAACACUAUAAUGAACGUAAUAUUGUGUCAUGGCUGCUUUUUCCACUUGCCAUGUUGUUAGCCAUACUUCCAUAUGUUGCAGUCUGAUUAAAGGUUAAUUUCUUCAUCUCAAAAGUAGGAGUAGGAGCAUUUGUUUUUUAUUCUAACCAGUGGAUUAGACCUAAUAGAUAUGAGGAAAACAAAAAGGAAGAGUAACUGGAUCUCGAGCCAUUGCCCCCGCACACACACUCGCCAGCCAGGAAAGAGUAAGGGCCACAACUCCCACAGCUGCCAGUGAUGCAGGGAGGCAGGUGCAGCAUCCCGACAGCUGCAAGUACCUACAGGCCCUGGUUCACAGCCUGGGUGCACCGGCCCAGGCAGAGGCGGGGCAGCAGGUCCCCCAGUGGGUGUAACAACAACACACAGUCCGGCAUGCUUGACCUCUGCAUCAGGUUUACCCAGGAGGGAGGCCAGAGCUAAGCAGGGCGCGGUCAGGCCUCUGACAGAGAACAGCAGGACAGGCCCGGGCCAUUUGGCCCUUGCUAAAGUAACCUGCAAUUUCUCCCACAUAAUAUAUGACUAAAAGCCAGUCACAUUCUUAUUACUCAAUUUCGCACUCAUGCCUAAAUUCAAUCUGUUGUACUUCGGCAAAUUUGCAAAACUGAAGGUCCAAGUCUUUAAAUAAUUUAAGAAAAGUCUGGUGCCCAAAGAAAGGCUCCUUUCAGGGUGGGAUUUGCUCAUGGGCACCAGGCCCACACAAAAGGGAACGAUCCCAGGAACCAAUCACAGCACCGUCUUUAGCGACUCUCUCUUAUUCCACUGUACCAGUGCACCAAAGUUUAUCAAUUUCUUUUAAAUAAAGUUUUAUCUUCCAAUCUUUUUACUAUAACAUUCCUGCAAACAUCUGGUUGCUAAAUCUUUGUUCACUUGCUUUACUAUGGCCAUAGGAUAAAUUCUUUCAAGUAGAAUUGUCAACUCGAAGGGUAUAAACAUUUUUAUGACUUUUACACUCAUACCACCAAAUUGCUCCCUCGGAGAAACUGCACCAAUCUUCGUUCUCUUGUCUCACAUGGACAGGUUUACUUCCUUGUUACUUUCUCUACUUCGGGUAUUACCAUAAAACAAAAUGUUAGUUUGAUAUGUGAAAAAAUAAGUUCACUGUUUUCCUUUGUAUUCUUUUAUUACUAAUGAGGCUGAAAAUAUUUUUAUAUGCUUGUUUGCUAUCACUUAUUUCAUGAAUUAGCUAUCCACAUGCUUUGUAAAUGUUCUUUAUACAGCAGGAAUUUUAAGCCUUUGCCUGUAUCUACUUUGCAGAGACUGAGCUUUUACAAGUCACAUGCUAUGGAUGCCGAAUCAUUGUUGUCCUCCUUGCCUUGUUAUUUAAAUGGUCCUUUCUUCCUUCGUUGGCUGCAUUGAUGACUUUCCUCAUCAUCUUUCUAAGAGACCACACGGCUCUGAAAGAGCUCAGUACCUCACUCGUGACGCGGAGGAGCCACAGGCCCGCGACAUGCAGUUCUUUUCAAUUUGUAUGUUUGUCUCAUGUUUUUCAUUUCUAUCACUGCAGUUGAAAUAAGAUAUUCUACGCUGUGAUUCAGUUCACCUUCUGUGAGUGUAUAUGUAAAUAUACACACCUAAGUAUGUA
ensembl:lncRNA